GCCACGCGCCGCGGGGCGAGGGGGCCAGGGGAUGAGGGGCGCGGCUGAAGAAGCAGCGCCGCUGGGCCAGCGCUGCGGCCAGGACUCCAGGUGGACAGGUGCAGUGGACAGGUGCAGCACUAGGGCGCCACUGUGAAAAAUGCCAAGACGUCAUCUGCAGAUAAGAAAAGAAACAAGAUUGUUGGGGGCCAUACAAAUAAUGACUGGUCUGAAUAUUCACUUUGUGGGACUGCUCUGGACUUAUUUGUUACUCUCACAAAUUUCUGCAUUUGGAAAACCAUAUCUUCCUCUCUCAACAGUAACAAGAUACCCAUAUUGGUCAUCUACAUGUUUUAUCUUCUCAGGAAUCUUUGCAAUAAUGAUAGAGAAGAGGCGUUCACCACUCUUGGUAAGUCAGA